AUGAUUUCGAUGAGGGCGAUAUAUCUUUUGGUACUCCCUUUGUACACAUUGAAUGGUGCUGAAUCAAGAACAGAGUACAGAAAAAAAGUACACAAGCAGGCGACAUCAAUCGCAGAACAGAAUACCAAAGAGGAAAACAACGAAGCGAUUAGAUCAGCCUGGUUUACAUUACUCAGAAAACCAAGGUACGAAAAUGCAGAGAGGGUUGAAACUUAUUUGAGCGGAACAGGGCAGGAAAAUGCGGACGACGUUGGAAAGAAAAUGAUAGAGGAGAACGAAAAAGAGAUUAUUCCGAGACAAAUACUCGUUGAAACAUCUGGAUUGAAGAAACUACAUUUGGAUACGCGUGGAUUUAGGGCGCCAGAUUUACAUGACCGAAGACAAAAGACCUUGUUACAAGAGGAUAAAUAUGAUUAUGACGCGCCCGACACCAGACGCUACCCCGAUGACAGAGGCAUGACUUUCUACUCCGGUCGCACGACAUCCAGAUACUUUCCCGAUUUCGAACAGGAUCGUUGAAGUGUUUAAAGAAUCCAUUCGUGUAAAAACCCAUGCAGUUUCAAGAACUGUAGAAAAAUAAAUAGAGUGUUAAAUUUAUAAAUAGAAGCCGGAGUUUAUAAAAUUGAUUUGACUCUAAAACUCAAAAGAAGAUACCAAAAUCUAACAUAAAUGUACCUAAUUAAUUUAUUGGAAUAAUAAUAAAAAAAACCUGGUUAUUUAUGUUCUUUCACCGAGAGAACACUGCCUGUUAUUCCAUGGACGAGCUUUGCUACGGAAUUUUCUUUUAUGUCUUGAUGGGUGGUAUACAAGGUUUAAUUUUAAUUUUAAUUUUAGUUUAAUUUUAAUUUUAGGCAUUGACCUCGUGUUAUCUUACGUCUGUCCAUCACAUCACCAUCUUUAUCCCCAUUCCUAUAGUUUACAGUCAAGAUCAAUGCUGAUAGUAUUAUCAGUUCUGUGCAACAUCGGCCUCCUGUGGUGUACUGUCGGCCUCCUGUGGUGUAGUGGUUGUAGCGCUGGCCCUAUGACCAAGAGGUCCCGGGUUCGAUUCCCGGCCAGGUGAUCUGAGUCUGAUGGUCUCAGGCAAUGGUCACCUGGGGCUGGGGUAAUAAGCGUGGGAUUAGCCAAUAGGCUAUUUGAAAUUGGUAAAAAAAAAAAAAAAAAAAAAAAGAAUUGUUUCAAAGUUACAAGUUCAAUCUCUCAUCACCCCUUAGAGCUUCGGCUUUCCCUAGUUUUUCAGUGAUUUCCGGUCACGAUCUCUCAGAGUCCAGGUGCACUUGACUGACCAACUGUCUCUUUGAUCCAACUGAUCGCGCCGAACACGGUGCUCGUUGCGGUCGACGCGCGGCGUGAAUAACGCAUAUUGGCGCCUGCAAGACUACAAAAAUACUUCACGCAUCGCGCGUUCACUACGGCGCGCGCCUUAAUCGUUAAAAUCGUUAUUUCUCGUGCCGGACCCAACAUGGACCACAGAGCCACCGUCCGAAGUAAAAACGCCGUAUCUUUAUUCAACAUGUUUUCAAUAUUUUCCGGACAAAAUGCUGUUUUACAGAAAAUCUAACAAAUAUUCAUCCUUUAGUUUUUCAAUACAACUCCGCCAUACUAUUAGGAACUAAAAUGAAGAAAUGAAGCCUAGUGGCAAUUGAAUUUUCUUGUAAUGGAGCAGUACGUG
rnacentral:lncRNA from 1 species